UUCGUAGGCGGUGUGGCAAGUCGGGAGUGAAAUCUCUGGGCUUAACUCAGAGGCUGCUUCCGAAACUGCCGUGCUAGAGUGCGGGAGAGGCGAGUGGAAUUGCAGGUGUAGCGGUGAAAUGCGUAGAUAUCUGCAGGAACACCCGUGGCGAAGGCGGCUCGCUGGACCGCAAACUGACGCUGAGGAACGAAAGCUAGGGGAGCAAACAGGAUUAGAUACCCUGGUAGUCCUAGCCCUAAACCAUCAGGACUUGGGGUGCAUCCCGUUCGGGGUGCGUCCCGGAGCUAACGCGUUAAGUCCUGCGCCUGGGGAGUACGGUCGCAAGGCUAGAA
rnacentral:rRNA from 1 species